UGAAAAGUUUUUUUCAAAACUACUGCAGACAGUAUAUAGAGAAUUGU
rfam:Sarcophilus harrisii ctg7180002485947, whole genome shotgun sequence.